rnacentral:misc_RNA from 1 species
UCCGAGUUGACCCCGGCAGUCUCUCGCGAGUCCCCGCCAUGACGCGCUGGCAACAUGAGACAAGGGUUGCGCUCGUUGCGGGACUUAACCCAACAUCUCACGACACGAGCUGACGACAGCCAUGCACCACCUGCACACAGGCCACAAGGGAACCGACAUCUCUGCCGGCGUCCUGUGCAUGUCAAACCCAGGUAAGGUUCUUCGGGUUGCAUCGAAUUAAGCCGCAUGCUCCGCCGCUUGUGCGGGGACCCGUCAAUUCCUUUGAGUUUUAGCCUUGCGGCCGUACUCCCCAGGCGGGACACUUAAUGCGUUAGCUUCGGCACGGAAGGAGUCGACACCUCCCACACCUAGUGUCCAUCGUUUACGGCGUGGACUAC